AUACGUAGGGUGCGAGCGUUGUCCGGAAUUACUGGGCGUAAAGAGCUCGUAGGUGGUUUGUCGCGUCGUCUGUGAAAUUCCGGGGCUUAACUCCGGGCGUGCAGGCGAUACGGGCAUAACUUGAGUACUGUAGGGGAGACUGGAAUUCCUGGUGUAGCGGUGAAAUGCGCAGAUAUCAGGAGGAACACCGGUGGCGAAGGGGGGUCUCUGGGCAGUAACUGACGCUGAGGAGCGAAAGCAUGGGUAGCGAACAGGAGUAGAUACCCUGGUAGUCCAUGCUGUAAACGGUGGGCGCUAGGUGUAGGGGUCUUCCACGACUUCUGUGCCGUAGCUAACGCAUUAAGCGCCCCGCCUGGGGAGUACGGCCGCAAGGCUAAAACUCAAAUGAAUUGACGGGG
rnacentral:rRNA from 1 species